ensembl:lncRNA
CAUUACCCAGCAUGCUCUGUGCGCGUGAAUCAGGUGAACUUGGCAGAUGGCUUCACGUGCAGCAGAGUGUAAUGAGUGGGAUUUCCUGAGCGCUGCAUUCGAGCGCAGGAGGAACUAAUAGGCAGAGUCCAAGCUGCGUCCUUUACAUCUGUCACAUCGGAACUAGUGGAGUAACAGCGUCUGCAUUUUCCAUCAAGGAAAGUUUUUUGCGAAGUUUGUUAACAUUUCUUCGAUUUAACUCCCCUUUUGUGUCUCUUCAAUGGAUAUUUCUAAUCAUUUUACAGCCGGAUGUAUUGUGCACGUGGAGGAUUUUUCUCUUCUUCUUUUUUUUUUUUUUUUUUUUUUUUUUUUUUUACAAAGUUCUUCAUUUAUGUAAUGGGUUUAUUGGAGGAAUUUGACUGGAGAGAAACUAUGUGGAGGAUACAUACCCUCGUCUCCGUGAUCGGAUGGAUCUGUGCUGGGAUUCCCAGGAUCUUCUUGCCUGUCGCGGAUUCCGACAGAAGCACGCGCUCAGUCUGGAAUUCCUUUGCUCUCUGGAAAUUGCGGCUGAUUUUGGAAAAGUUUGGAUAUCUGCUUAUGGAUGAUACCAUCGCUGAUCACUGAAGAAGUAAUGGACCUUUUUAAAGUUGCCUCUGACUGAGUAAAGCAAUUUAUGCAUGUCAGAGAUUUAAAAAGCAGCAGGUGUGUCGACAUGUGUUUGCGGAUACCUCUAUAAGCCAGAUGUUUGGAGGUCUGGAUGAAGCACAGCAUCCGAAUCAGGCUAUUGGUGUACUCCGACCUUCUCUGUUUUUCCCUCUUCCUCUUUUUCUUUCCAUUCCUCUCUUUUUGCUUUUUUUCGCUCUCACUUACUGUAUGCAUGUGUGUGGUCAUGGACUGCUUCCACUGUCUGACUCCAGUUCUCCCAGAAGCUAAUUGUGUGGUUAUAAUCUGUGGUCUGAGAUUACUCUUCAAGCCAUCACUGCCUAAUUUCUAUCAUCAGUGUGAAAAAACAGGCACAAAUUUCUAAUCAUCAAACCAUACAAAGUGUGCCUUUUGUCUCCAACUGUUGUCUCUGCUUCAUCAUGUUGCCCGUUGGCUACUUUUUUCCCAAUGUAGUAUUUCUUUUACAUCUUUAUAAUUAAAGAGUCCAGUCAUUAAAACUGCUGAACAGUUAUUAACAUAAAUGCACAUCUUUGGUCACAUGUCAGAAGACUAAAAAAAAUUUUCAUUUUCUAUGUUUGUUUGAAUCCAGUCUGAUUUGUGAAGCACCUUGGAACUGUAAAAUAACACAAGCUUCGCACAGGCCUUUACUGGCUUUGUUGUAAAUAUAAUAAGACCCAUGAAAACCCUGUGGAGAUUUUUUACAGGCUGUCCUAAGAUAUGGGUGGUCUUCGUAUUACUGCCUUGAGAGGUAGGCAAAAAGUCAUUUGUGUUUAGAUGUCAAUGAUCCAAAAAUGAACCCUGUGAAAUUUAGCUUUACAAUACUGUUUCCAGAAUAUAGCAUUUAGAAUUAUUUGUCCUGUAUGGUUUCUAGUCUGCAAAAUAUAUGCAGGCUGCUUCAUCAUUUCCUCCUUGGUUGAAAUGAAAUAUUCUGAUAUUCUCUGUAUUAUGAUAAAGAGAUGUGCUUAGAAAAUGUAAGCAGGGGCUCAUUCCCUUAUUCCCACUAUCUGAAAUAUCUCAAGUUUUCCAAUGUUGAACUUUCUUGACAUCCUUAAUAAGGUGUUUUUAUUUUUGAAUAUUUGAAGGUGAAGAGUUGGCGCCUCUGCUCAUAAAGGCAGCAGGAGUCUCCCUAUGUGGCAGUAGAGCCAGCUGAUUCAGCUCUUCCCUUGUUUACACUGAGGCUAGCGUUAGCGAAACCCAAUGCAGCUAGCAUAAACUAGUUCCGCUGUAGCAUCUGCUAUCUCUCCAUUUGUCACCGCAAAAGGUUUACUAAACUGAUGUGCAUAAUGUGUGUUCAAAGUUUGUGGGUUGAUUUAUUGAUGGUUUAUAAAGGCAAUGGUAAUUUUUGACAGCUACCUUUUAAGGAGAUUGAGUUAUUAGCUUCAGUCUGGAGCUCUGUGGUAAAACAAAAAGCAAGGCCUUGAAAUUUGAGGCAACAUGGAGAGAUUUCUAAUACAUUUCUAGCCAAGGGUACUUUUCUCACACAGUAAAUGUCAGGUUUUGAUCAAGGUUUUCGAUAGCUGCAUGCCAAAGUGAGGUGGAUAUAAUACUAAUCAAUUCAGUUUGUGAUCAGAUACUGACUCUCAGACUGUCUUUCUGCUCUGUUACAUUGUCAAAACAGAGCACAUACACACUUUAUAAAGACAAUGCUACAGUAAUUUGCGAUGGCCAAGUUUUGUGAUGGAGCUUUGUGUUUUUAAAAAAAAAAAAAAAAAAAAAAAAAAAAAACCCUUGAAAUCUGAUUCAAUGCUGGACAACAUUUCUGACCUUUUCAAGGAAGACUAUGAUCAGCUUUUGCCUUUUAAUGCACGAUAAAAAGAAAACCAAGCAAUUUUGUUGAACAUUUAUGAGCGCUGUUUUGCCACUGGGUUCCAAACAGGUGCUGAAUUGGCCCAGAGUAGACUGGUCCCUGCUGUGAUGUGUCACUGGAGUGUGUGUAUGUGUGUUUUGUGCAGGAUAACAGAGUUGGUGAAUGGCAUAUUAAACUGUGUGUGCUCCCCCUGCAGAGCCCUUUGUAUUAUAUAAAGACUUCCGAACAGCUCUGGCAUUGUUGUGAGAAGGAAAGGGCCCUUUCUUCUGAUGCUGGCGGUUUUGAAUAUGAUACGCGUGUACGGAAAAUGUGGUCAAAUAAACAGUGUGUUGGGUUACCCUGUCUGUACAAAAUUGUCAGAAUGGAUGGGGCUCAACUUACAUCUACUCUCCAUCCUAGGUACUGGAAUUUCCCCUGAAAUAGAGCCAUUUCUACUGUUUUGUACUAAUUAGUUAUUGUACUUUAUACCUUAAUGGUUCCCUUGUUUGAGGUGUGUGACCUCCUGUAGGACUAAGAUUUAAAUGAGAGGGAGAAGACAAUGAUUUAAUGAAUGUAGUCAUAUGUUUGAGAGAACAGGGUUGAAAGGUUGAAAGAACGUUUAGGGGCAACAAAAAAAAAGGAAAUCUAAAAUGAUACCUUUAGUGAUUGUGCAUAAUUGGUUUUGAUUUGGAUUUUUUUUAAUGCCUGUACCCAAUUCAAUGCCUGUAUUACACAGAUGCACUUACCUGAUUGGUGUGCUCUAAGAAAAAAAAAGUAGAGCCUUAAAUUACAAAACCUAGGUCAUGGCCAUUAUUCAUAAUUUCUCAGCUUUAAUGGGGACAGAAAUCUGUAACAUGAGGAGCAGCAUAUCACACCACACCUGAAGAUCCAACACACCACACCUAAAGAUCCAACACACCACACAUGAAGACCCAGAACACCUUUUGUUUUGCCAAGAACCUAUUGCUCACUUACCUUGCUACUGAGUCAGUAUAUAUCCAGGCUAUUCCAAAUUAAAAUGAGUCUUUUUGUUUUUCAUUCUCUGUUUUGUGCAGUUGUUAAUGAGAAGUUGCACACUGCAGGGUGAUUGAACAAGACAUAAUCGAAUCCUCUGCUUUGUGGUUUGUGUGGUGAAGCAUGUGUUCAUGGAGGCGUUAUAAAUGAACUUGAGGCAAUAGAGGAGGAAGUCCAGGUUCUUCUCGACAGGGUUCUUCCUGCAUUUGGGCUCUUGGGAAAGACUCUCUGAGAGUGCCAGCUAAGGCAGGGUUUGUCUUGGAACAUGCUCAAAGGCUCUCUCCCUUUCCUCAUCUCACAUCUGAAGGGGUAUUUAUGUCCAGAUGACAGGAAGGUAAUUCGUCUGAUGUGUCCAAGUCCAUCUUGCAGACCCCCAAACAGUCCAUGUUGUGUUGCACUGGUCCAUCAUUAAGUGGUCUUAAAGGAAUGUGUUUGGCCAAAUCAUGGAUGCAUCAGACUGGGCAUGCAUAACUCUUCUAGUUGUUUCUGAAUUCACAUAAAUAUGGCUCUUGAAUAUUAUAGUGGUUGAUGGUCUAACGUAAACUAUUAAUGUGUCUGUCACAGGUUAAGAAACCUGGAUUACAUCUCAUUCUGUAUUAAUUUAAAAUGCAUAUGGAUAUCAUAUCUUUCAUGUUAUUCUAAGCUGAUCUUAAUUAGUUCCAUGCCUUUGUGCAACCGUAGUUAUACCUUUCUGAAGAUAUAGUUUCAAAUAUGAGCUUAUUUAACCUGUGUUGGGGCAGGUAUGCACAAAACUAGAUUAAUUAAUGAGAAAUUAUACAGUUCUGGUCCACUAAUCUGAUUGUUCCAGUGUUCCAAGAGUGUCUAUAUUUAUUAUAACCACACUGGGAUGUUUCACGUUCAUGUUUGUAUGACUGAUAAACUGCAGCACUCAUCCUGCAGCCUCAUAUCUACAGUCAAAUCAUAGCUGUGCCAAUAUUCAGUAUAACCUUGCUCUUGCUAGAUUGCUUAAAUAUUCUUUUGGAACAGUAGUGGUCCAUCACAGCUCUUGUAUCUACAUGUACCAGGUAUAUUAGAUGUUAGUAUGAUUCAAGCAUAACAUUUGGAUUGAGUUUUAAUUCUGCAAGUUGGCAUCCAGGACAUUGCAAACAUUAUUUUAAAUCCCACUGUGAAGCAAUAUUCAAAUAAGUGUUCAGGCCUACAUGAGAUGUCUGCAGGCAACAUGAGGAUUUUGGGUUCUACUGUAAAUACAUUUUUGGAAUGGUUAUCAUGCCCACGCUGCUCUGAAGUUUGGGAUUUUGGGUGAUCCUGAAAUUCUUUCUGGGUACAAAACAAAACUCCAGGCCCCAGGAGCCUCACAUUGUUGCACAGUGGUAAUGGAGUGGUGAGGUUGGGAGGACCAGGUGCUGGGGAAUGUAAUUGGUGCAUUACAGUGAAGGAAUUUAAGAUUAGGUUAAUCUUAGUCCACACCCCCCUGCCCCGCUUGAAGGCUUCCAGCAAGCCUGCUCUGUCUUGUUUAAAGACACUAAGCAUUGAAAAGUAGACUUAGUUAAUGGUUGUUUGCUUCCAGGCUUCAACACAACCCUCUUAAGAAUUAAAUUCGCUUGGGGAUUAGAUUUGUUCUGCUGCUACUGAGCUAUGCAUAAAUCAGAUGGUGUAGUAUGUCAGCUUUAUUGAUCAAGAUUUAUGUGGUGUGUUUUUUUUUUUUUUUUUUUUUUUUUUUUUGUUUGUUUUUUUUGUUAUUGUUUUCUUUUUGGUCUUUGUGAACUGACCUGUACCCCUAUUCUAAAAAGUGCCACAUGAUUUCUUGUAUGCCACCCUCACUCUACCUGACUGUGCACAGGAGAGUUACUGUCCCUUCUCACACUUUGGAAAAUGCUACUUACAGGCAAGACAUUCAAGUGCAUUAAUUAAAACAAUGCAUAUGUCUGAUCCAACAGGUUUGCAAAAGAAGUUAUUCUUUUAACUUGAACAGUAAGAGAAAAAAUCUAAUCCAUGAACAAAAAUGGAGCAUUGAAUAUAAAGUCAGCUGUUAGCCAGACUCUGAGAUUGUUGUUUGCGUUUCAUAUCCAAGUAGAACACAACACUGCCACGCCUACCUUCCAGGAUAUCUGUGUGACUUGUUCAACAAACAUGUUGGAACACUGGGAUACAUUUACUGGACUCACCCAUUUGUUGGAUUAUUUGGAACAGUUGGUAAAACUAGAAAAACAGCACCACAAAUUGUACCCAAUCAGUUGAAGAGUGGGCCAAAUUUGACAGUUUCAAGAUGCUAGUGGUAUCGUAAUCUCAGUGCUGUUAGUAAUGUGACAAGGAUUAGGAAAUUAAUGACAUUAAUUCCUAUUUUGGUGUUUCAGCUACUGUUGCAAAAAAAUCCCAUGUUUUCCCAUGUGGGAUUAAUGUUUGGCAGAUUUUUGAUUGCGGUGAGCUUAUAUUAUGUGUUGCCUUUAAGUUUGAAUAACCCUGUGUCGGUUUGUCCAUAGGGCCAGGGUCACACCCAUUCAAAAAAUUUUACUAUUCCUAAAAUGGUCAUUCACAAACCCAUAUGUUUAAAAUUCUAUCGAAAUACUAAAUACCUCCUUUGGGUGACCAACAAUUUUAAAAAGUUUGCAGAUUGACAGAUGGAACCCAAUGAUACAUCAAUUUGCAUGCCUUUCUAGAUGUUACACAGUCGUAGGGAAGCAUGCUCACUGGCCCAUGUAGCCCAUUUACCUUGAGUUAUUUUCGCACCUAGUGGUUAAAAAUGGGACCAACAAGCACUAAUCAAAGACUCAUUAGGGCAGGAACCAUUCUGCCUCAUUCUCAUUCUGUCUGAAAGUUUUCAGUGGAGGAGGAGCAGAAGACUGGUCAGUUAUUGACAUGACAAAGUUGCCAGGGAUGCAGUUUUUACACAAAACUGGGCUGGUUUAAAAAUAUACCAGACACCAAUAUAUUGUUAAUACUCUGAAUUCAAUCUAAUAAAUUUCCACAAACAAAAACCGAGUAUUUUCGUAAAUUUAAAUGGGGAUCAUUGGCAGAUCUAUUCAGUGAACAACCAUGUUUAGUGGAUUAGCUGACCUCAAAACUUGGCUUUGAGACUUUUACUUCACUGUAUGAUUUUUGGAAUUAGUGAAGCAAGUGUUUACUGAAAUAGUAAUUAAUGUUUUAAAUGUUGUUUAAAUGAUGUUUUGAAGAGAGAUAGGAUACUUGUUAAUAUUUAUGAGUUUGUGAGAUUAAGCAUAGCAUUUCACCCUUUCCUGGGGCCUCAGGAUGGGUAUAAGUGAAUGUUGGAUUGGGGAAAAGAUGAGCGGCUCACCCUUCUGCAGGAGUGGGAAGCAAAAAGUUUCCUUUUCUUCCUGAUGCUACAUGGGUCCAAAUACAAACCAUGUGUACUCACGCCUCACUGGCUGGCACUCCACUGCUGUAGCUGUGGCUUCUGCCCACUUCCAGCAGCUUUGGGGGGGAUCCAUUUCAUUGCUGCCUCCUUAAAUUGUUCGCAAAACCUCUGGCCUGCUGCUUUGGGGGCUGGUGACUUAAAUGGCUGUGUCUUUCCUGCGUCCGGUCUUCAAGCAUGGCAGGUAUCCUCGAAGGGCCUUCAGAUAGGGUUAUAGUGUUGGCUUAUGUGAUUGGGUAAGUACAGUAGCCCAACUCCAAUGUCAAAGAUCAUUUCCUGCUUUGAAUUGCAAGAGAUCUCAAGUUAGCUCCUGUGUCCCAGCUGGUUUAAAGCAGUCUUGCUGAAUCUUUCUCUCUCUCCCUUCAUCCUCGUUGGUUACUUCGUCCCGCUAUAAAAUGUUCAACAACCACCAAUGAAUUGUUAGCAGGAACGAGAUAAAUCUUUGUUUUUUUGUUUAGUUGUUGUUGUUGUUGUUGUUGUUGUUGUUGUUGUUUGUUGUUUUCAGAAAUUGAUUCAAAUAUGCUGCCCAUGCAUGCUGAAAUUCUGAUCUGUCAAGACUUGAUAUAAAUUCAGACAUGUGUUGCUACAAACCAAACUUAAAAUGUUUGGCUUUUAUGCAAAUUUGUCUGGAAAUAAAUGCCUAAAUCACAAAAAGUAUUUAUACUUGGCUCAGGGGGAAAUGUUCCAUCAAAUGAUGAGAUGGUAAACAAGUGCAAUGGAAGCAUAUUUGUGGAAUAAAUGAUGAUGAUGAUGAUGAUGAUGAGACAUGUUUUAGUGCUAUAUCUGUAUAUACUUGAACAGAAAUAUGGACACUGAGGACACUCAUGCACUGUUGGGACAGACAAAGAAACAAAAUUUUCUUGAUUUAAUUUAAAAAGGAAAGAUGAAACAUGACUUUGACACUAACCUGGAAAAAGUGGUUACUAAAAUAAAUAGUGAAAGUCAAACAUUAAACCACCCUAUUACACUGCUGAAUUGGUUCUCUUUUAUUUCUGCACACAGAUGAAAAACAGCUGUGUGCUUUCGUUAUCGUUGUAAUUUAUCACUACUUACUUGUACGUCUUUGGUAUUUUUGUGUGACCGCAAUUAAUUUAAACACUUUUGCCCACUUUUUAGAAAUUCAAAGUAUUUCAAAACAAGUAGCUUGACAGCUCUGGGAUAGAAGUCAGUCAGGCUCUGAGUGACUGAAUAGUCUGGUACAUCCUGCCAGAUGGUAGCAGUGUAAACAGGUGGUGGUUGGAGUGUGUGGGUCCUCUGGAUGUGGAGAUGUGGAGGGUCCAUGAGAGGUGAACCCUGAGGAACUUUAAAAUGUCAACUCUCUCUAGAACAGUUCCAUUGAUUGAGAGAGAUUUGUGAUCCACUGUCAGCUUCCUGAAGUCAAUGAUCAGUUCCUUAGUCUUGUUGUCAUUGAGGUGAAGUUUGUUCUCAGUGCUCCAGUCCACGAGCAGAUCUACUUCCUCCCUUCAGGCUGUUACAGCACUAAAAAACAAAUAGACUGUUUGUUUAUUGACCUUCUAUCUCACGCCAUGAGUUGUUGAGCUGUGUUGUAAUUACAGUAACAUUAGUUGUGCGAUGUUAAAUUUUGGGUGUGAAUGAAAGUUUAUUUUGGAUGAGACUUGCAUUUGGAUGGUGAAAAUGACAAAGAAAAAAAACCACAAUGGAUAUUUCUAAUUUCAGGGAAAACAAGGUUGCAUGUGCAAUAAUAUAUUUUCUCCACUUUUUAUUCACUAAAAAAACCAGUGUAUCAGUUGAAUGAUGGAAAGUUUUCCAAUUGUUUCUACAUGUUUUAAAACAAUAAAUAAACAAUUAUAAUGGUAACUGACUAGUUCUGCAACAAUAUUUGAAUUACACUUUGUUGCAAUAUAAAGACAUGGGCUCAAGUGAAAGUUUGGAAACUGCAUUUUAAACAUGAUUUUUCUGGUUAAUUGUAGGAGCAAGAAGAGAUCAUUAAUAGAGAAUUUACAUGUGUUCACAAAUUCAACAAAUAACAAAAAACAAAUUCUUGAGCAGCACUUGAAUGCUUCUCUGAACUAGAAACUUAAAAAUCAGGGAGAUUUAUUGGUCUAUAUCUAUUAAGGAAAAUACACCCUAUCGAUCGUCUCUAUAGCUCUGCCACUCUUGGGGAAGAUGGACAGAAUACUUCCAAGAUCCCACCCCUAACUAUUUUCUUCCUCUGCCCUUCAACACCUCGAUAAAAAGUCAUCUUUUGUUUGCCUCUUGAGCACUAUUCACACACCUGUGGGCCAUCGCUGCAGGCGUGUGUGGGGGAUGUUAUGAUUGCUGCUGCUUAAUCGAGACUUGUUGACUAAAUGGGGUGGGAUUAGGCUCAGAGACAAGGCAUCUUUUCAUCUCAGAUAGUGCGGAGAAAGGUUGGAGUGGCGGGGGGGGUGAGGAGGUAGGGCGGUGGUAGAUGGCAUAUGUACACUUUGUUAACGCAUGCCUUCAUUUCAGCCCAUGCCCCUUUCUGCCCAUGCUGAGACUGUCGAUCCAUUCUGACAGCACACCUCUACGAGACAGUCAUGCAUUUUUCCCAUGAUGCGCAUGCUGCCAUCAAAAGGUUGAGGUAUGACUAUACUUUGAUUGCUGUAUGUACUGUACCAAGAAAAGGAAAAAACCCAAACAGACUUAAUUGCAGUCAGACAGUCUAAGCCAUUGUGUGACUGCACCUAAGGCCAUUUGAGAUCGUUGUCCCCCAGAAGCCUGCACAUGAGGCUUGUUCAAACCUUGCCCUUCCUGUACACAAAAAAACCCCCCAUGCCCUGUCAAACUGGCUCAUGAGCAUGCCAUAAAUGUGUCUGUGUGGGCGUGUGUUAGUGUAUUUGCGCAUGAACCUGUCAGUUGUAUAUUGUUGUACGUCGAUGAAGCACGGAGCCAGUGUCGGAUGCCAUGUGGCUGUGCCUGAUCCUGAUGUUUCCCAGACUCCCUCUGUGCCUGCGCAUUCGGCCAAUGAAACAAAGUUAUCGGCUAUGACCAAAACGCAGAGAGCCUACAUCAGAGGCCUCACACAGAGAAUGACAGCAAGCGUGCUGUCUAUACGAAUAACAUACUAUGACUGGGAUACAAUGACUUCAUGCACUUCAUUUGUGUUUUUCCUUAUUUUAACAAAUCUGCUUACUCUUUCUUUGAAUCCUGAAAUUAAUUAUUACACAUUCCUUAAUAAUGUACAGGAAUGGGGAAAUUGUGAAUUUAAUAGCAAGCUCACUGAGCAUGUGAAAGUAUCAGUUUGCUCACAGUUCUGUGUAGAGGUGACAAAUUAAAGGAAUCAUCAUAAACUUAAUAAGCACCCCUACCUGCCAGAAUAACUUCACUGCACCUUGAUAUACAGUACAUUCAACAAGUUUCUGGAAUCGUAUUGGAGGAAUGAACACCAUUCUUUCAAAAGAUAUUCUCUUAAUUUAACAUUUUAUGGGGAUGGAGAGUGCUAUCAUGUCAUCUCCUACUGUAUGUGCCAAAUUGGUUUGUGUAGUUUUAAAGGCAGUACAUUUUAGUCAAGUAAAAUUGUAAAACAAAAAUCUACUUUGGUACAAUCAGCUGUUCUUGCCACCGCAAUUUCAAAACAUUUCAUCUUCUGCAUAUGCAUAAGACCAAAAGACUUUAAAUGUUUAAUGUGAUACACUCACUUUGAGAUGAUUUUUGCUUUGUGACAUGGUGCAUUAUCAUGCUGGAAGUAGCCAUUAUAAGAUGGGUAAAUUGUGGCCAUGAAGGGAUUUACAUUGUUGGCACCAAUACUCAAAUAGGCUGUGGCAUUAAAGUGACGAUUGAUUGGUAUUAACAAGCCCAAAGUUUGCCAAGAAAGCAUUCCCCACACCAUUACACCAUCUCCACCAGCCUGGACUGUUAACACAAGGCAGGUUGAGUCUCUUGAUUCAUGCUGUUGCUGCCAUAUUCUAAUCCAUCUGUGUGCCUCAGCAAAAAUUGAGAUUCAUCAGAUCAGGCUCCGUUUUUCAAGUCUUCAACUGCCCACUUUUGGUGGGCAGUUAUAGAAAUAUUCAAACCAGCUCAUCUGGCCCCAACAUUUAUGCCAUGGUCAAGAAUACUGAGCACACAUGUUUUUCCCCAUUCUUUUGGUUGAUAUGAACAAGCUUCUAGCCUGUAUCUGCAUGAUUUUAUGCAUUGCCCUGCUGCUACAUAAUUGGCUGAACUAGACAAUUGCGUGAAUGAGUAGGUGUACAGGUGUUCCUAAAGUGUUCGGUGAAUGUACAGUAUGUAUAGUUGGUAUACGACUCCCCAGUAGAUAUUGCAAUUGCACUGCAGUGUCCCUCUAUGCAGUUUCUGUCUCAGUGCAUUGAACUGUUAAUGUCUGGGCCUGUUGAGCAUUCAUGACCACAGCAUGAUCCCACAUCGCUUUACAGACCUGCGUUACAAGAACAUCUGCUUGAGUGGGUGGCUUUUAGCUCUAGGGACACUUCAGGGAAGUUUUCUUCCAGAAGAUAGCAGGUGGGGGACAAUUUGCCCAUGUGGUUCUUCAUACCACAUCAAAGAAUCGUCUUCUCUUUAAAGGCUCUUACAACACAGGACACUGUGGGACAGAACUGUGCGCAAAGCUGCAUAAAAUGUUCAAAUGGCUGUAUUGUUUUAAACAGGAAAGUGACUGACUCGUUCUUAUUUACACUAAAUGGUACUGAUACUUCUAUUAUCACUGCUGAAAACAGAACAGAGUAGCCUAGUCUAUGUCACUUUCUGCAUAAAUAUGUAUUAACCAUGACAUGUGCCUUCUGCCUAUUUUUUUUUAGAUUAAGUAUUUAUAAGAAAUAAUCAGUGGUUAUUCUGUUAACCAUUAGGAGAAGUAAAAAAAAAAAAAAAAAAAAAAAACCUGUAAGUAAUAAAACAUGUUUAUAUAUCAAACAUGACAGGGUGUGUUGUUGAAGGAAAAUAAUUAUAAAUUGUCGAUUAUAAGCUGACUAUUUUCUGACCAUACCUUCUGACCAAUCAGAAUAGAGAAUUCAGUAGUGCUGUGGUGAAAUAAAGUACCAUUUUAGAGAGUAACAUGAAUCAUUGAGCUUCUGAGAUACUGAACCAAAAUGCUAUAUUAGGGCGACAUCAGAUUUACAACAGGAAAAUGGAAAAAAAAUUUUGUUUUUUAUGUAUAGUGCUACUAGAGUCACACUGAAAUAAAUAAUAAAAUGUACAGAAUUUUUUUUAAAGUAUUUAUUUUCAUAGCAAAGUACCGUUUUAUUAUUGUAUAGAAUGGUCACGUAAAUGAUUAGGCAAUUAUAGCAGUGCAUUGGUUUACAGUAAAAUACCAGAAAACACAAUGCAUAGUGGGAUACCUUACAUUUUUGGAAAGGGUGAGAAUAGCAAAAAUUCUCCGUGUCGACCUUUAACUUUAUAUGCUAGAGAACAUGUUCGUCUGUGCAUCGUUGGUUAAGGCUUUGAGUUACAGAUCAGAAGGUCAUGUGUUCAAAUCCCAGCACUGCCAAGCUGCCAUGGCUGGGUUCUUGUGCAAGACCCUAACUUUCUACCUCAGCUAAAUGUGGAAAUGUACUGGAUUAGGGCUGGGCGGUACAUCUAAAAAAUGUAUCACAAUAUAAUGUUUCAUAUCAUUUGGUAUCGAUAAUUAUUGAUAAAUUUUCACCUUUUUUAAACAAAGACCAGUAGAAAAAAAAAAGGGUUUGAAUUUAAGCACUAUAUUUUUUUUAUUUACCUACUUUAUUAUGGCAAACGACAAAUAAUUUUAGUUUUAACAGUCAAAAACAAAAUAGAAUUUAAACAGAUAUCUUCUCUUAUAUCUUGUAUGAAGAUUAAAUAAGUUUUAAAGAAACUCUUGAAUUUCUUCAAUAAAUGUAACAAAAUGUGUGCAAUUCAAAAGUGUAAGCGUAGAACAAUCAAGGCAAACAAGCGCCGAAUGUGACUCCUGGUGCUCUGGUUUCUUCCCUUGCCUGCUAUUGAGUCACACGCAUUGCAAGUGCACAAGUCUCUCGCAGCCUGUUUCUCUGUAAUUGGCCCGGACGUUUUUUUUUUUUUUGGGGGGGGUAAAGCUUACACACAAUGGUGUUCUGGUGUUGGUCAGAUGAAAAGAAACAAGCAAAAAUAAACUGCCACACUAGUGAGCUGACGUCCUUUUUUCUUCACAAUCUCCUUUGUAGGCACUGAACUAAUUUUCGUGUGUGUUCUGAUGUCACAUGGUGAUGGCACAUACAAACCCCACAGAUACACAACUUGUUAUUGGCUGUCGCUCAUAGCACACUCCUUUAUCAAGGCAUAUGUUAGGCUGUUUAUGAUCCAGGGAUGGCGCACACUUGAGGGUAAUUUAUACAACCAAACUUCACUUCUGCUUACAUUUUAUCAAUUGUUGUACCGAACAAUUUUUCUGUCUUUACCGUUAAAUGUGUACAGUCAAUAAAUACCGAUACCGUUUUAUCACCCAGCCCUAUACUGGAUUAUGUUUUUGUAUUUAUUUAUUUAUUUAUUGUGUUUAUAUUGACCGGUAUUUUACUUGCAAAAAUAUUGCUGGAAACAUACAGCAAUAUACUGUAAAAGGAAUUACCUGUAAAGAUAUUGCAUUACUUUACUGUAAAUGUUUUACGUUUAUUUACUGUAAGUUUACUCUGUUGACAGUAAAUUACUGUAAAUGUUUGAGUGUACUAUAAGUAACUGGCCUAAUAGUCAAAGUGAGAAGAGAUCCAGGGUUGUCGUUUAAUCAUUUUUACCACACCCUUGUUAUGACAAAUCCCAGAAGAGGGACUUCAGAAGUCACAUCCCCUUAGUGAUCGAAGCAAACAGUGGAGAAACAUUAUACACCCCCGACACACAGAUUUUGCUGGAUAAUGGGAUUAAAGUGGGAACAAAAUACUCAUGACUUUAUUGGAGUGGUGAACAAAUAAAUAAUGGGAAAUAAUAUUUCCCAGACAGCACUGCCCUGUGAAUUCUAGCACAUUUAUUUCCACUGUUCCAACUUUGCUUUGUAGUUGUGUUUUAUAUCUAUUGUGAAGAAAUAAAAGUAUUUUUAUUUUACUUAACCUAUAAAAGAACAGUAUUUCUAUUGAUCCAGUGCUCUUACUUCCUACGGGUGGACAUUUGUGCUGCUCUAAAAAUUAUAUCCUAUGCCUUGAAUCCCUGGGCAAAAUAAUUUUUGCAACUGUAUGUUGAACUUGUGGAAGAAGUUUAUAAGGUCUGUAUGAUAAAUUCAUGGAUAUGAUGCAGAAGUGAAAUAAGUGGGGACUCCCACCUUUCAGAGUUUAGAAUCAGUGGCUACGUUUACAUUUACAUCAAUAUUCUGAUAUUAAUCAGAAUUCUGUAAUAUUAUAAUUAGUAUUGUGUAACACAUGCGCACGCACACACACGCACAUACAUAAGGACCUCUAGAGCAUGGGUUCUCCAACUUUUUUGUGUCCAGGAACAUCUUUUACUGUAAAAUAAAUUCCACAGAACCCCUCAGUGCAGAUUUAUUUCAUAAACAUUAUUUUAAAAGAUUACAUAAAUAUGUUGUUUAUUUAGUAGAGCCAUAGAUCUUUUUAUUCUAGAACUUUUCAUGGACAGAACACAUUAGCUCCAGGUUGACAUUAAUUAUUGGCUACUUGUUUUUCAGUUAUUGAUGUGUAAUCAUCCAAUUCAAAUAACCAUUCAAACAAGCUAAUAACUAUAUCAGUAAUAAUCAGUAUAAUAUGUUAAAUAUACAACUGUGUUGUGAUAACUAACCACUAAAUUAUGUGUGACUACAUGGAAAAAAAUCACAGACCCCAUGGCUAUGCUUUAGGGAUGCCUUGGGGGCCCUGAACCACAAUCUUCUGCUAUACAGUUCAGACGAUUUCAUCAAAGUUAAACAUGGCUGAAGCUUAUCAUUCUGUGCAUAGUUGUGAAAAGGAAGAAUUAAAUAGAGGAGCUAUUUGCUUUGUACAAUGUUGAAUGAUUGAACCUUCAGCCUCCUAACAACAAUUCCUGGUUUAAGUUUGAAACUCCCACCCACUCACUCACUCACUCACUCACACUCACUCUCUCUCUCUCUCUCUCUCUCUCUCUCUCUCUCUCUCUCCCUCACUCACACACACACACUGCAAGACAGGAGUUCUGCAAUUUUCUCAAGGAUCAGUCUAGCUACAAGACAGGUCCAUACAUGUUGCACACAAAGAAGGUUGAAAUAAAAGGUUUUGAUUUAUGUAUAUUAAAGUUGUCUGUCAUCACCUGCAAACAACAACCUAAAGAAGAAGAUAAUAGCAGAAAGGCAGAAAGGUAUUUGUGGUUACUAGGGUGGGUGUCGGUACAAGACAAUAAUUGCAAUAAUGUUUGCGCGAGUGGCUGGGCACAAGGAACAAAAUGGUCGGCCCCUUCAGAUGGGUGUGUGUGUGUGUUGAGGCUUGUGGACCGGGUGCGGGGGUGGCUCUGUGCUGGGUGUAAUGAUAGGCUGAUGCAGGUGAGAGCAUGACUAUGCGUUUGCCUCAGGCAUGUGUUCACACUCACACAAAACAAUAAGCAAUAAAUCUGACAUCUCCUGCACUGUACAACCAAUUACUGGGAGAACAGAGGGAUGAACAUGAGUGCCAGCACUAGUGAGAGGGCUUAGUGAAGACUUACAGUGUAAAUAUACUCACCUUAUUAACCCCAAAUGUCCAACAAUAAGGCCUUGGAACUCAAGUUGCAGACAAGUCAUCACAGAGCCAACCAGAAUAAAUUCCUCCUGUUAGACUGAAUACACUUCCAUUCACAUUGUUGCUCCUAGCAGAGCUUUCAAAACAUGUCUGCAGUGUUCCGUUGUCUUAAUAAGGUGCUCUGAUUCAUCAGAGCUGAAAGACACAACACCACUUAUGAAUGGUCUCUCUGUAAAUCGGUAACAAACAUGCUGGAGGAAAACUGACUUAUGUACAGAUGUAUAGAUCGAGAGAAAUGCACAAGACAGCACAACAUUUGUUUUUCUUACAAAUCCACACAACAGUUUGGUGAGACAAAAAUAGUAUACUUGGUCACUUAUUUAUUGAGGAAAACGAUCCAAUAUUACAUGCUGUAUCUGUGAGUAGCAAAAGUAUGUGAACCUUUGCUUUCAGUAUCUGGUAUGACCCCCUUGUUCAGCAAUAGCAACUAAAUGUUUCGACUAACUGUUGAUCAGUCCUUCACAUCGGCAUAAAAAGGAAUUUCAUCCCGUUCCUCAGUUCAGAACAGUUUCGACUCUGGGAUGUCGGUGUGUUUCCUUAAUGAACUGCUUGCUUAAGGUCCUUCAACAACGUUUCUAUUGGAGUAAAGUCAGGACUUUGACUUGGCCAUUCCAAAGCAUUAACUUUAUUCUACUUUAACCAUUCUUUGGUAAAAAAUUACUUGUGUGCUUAGGGUCGCUGACCUGCUGCAUAACCUACUUUCUCUUGUGAUUCAGUUCAUUUCCUUAAUAAAUAAAUAUUAGUAUGAUACUUUUGUCUUAUUUGUUUAAUUGGGUUCCCUUUAUCUACUUUUAGGAUUUGAUGUUUUAGGUCAUGUUUAUGCAGAUUCACAAACUUUCAAGCACCACUGUAGUUGUGGAGAGCAGACAUAAUGCAUUAAGUGUAUGUUGCAUGUAGCCCCUGUGAACAAAAUAUUGUAAAGGAGCUCUCUGAUGCAAUGACUGUUAUUGUCAUUUUUGACUGCAUUCACUCUCAUGUCAGUCCAACAAACAUAACUCACAGUGCACUCUCUCAAAUCCAUGUGAUGAUGAAGAGAGGAUAAAAAGACAUAACCUCUAUCAAUCAUGUGGGAUUUUUAAUAGGAUAUUAUGGGGGUUUUUUGCACAGUGGUCAGACUGCUUUUAAACACACCUUUAUUAUGUAAUAUAUUAUCAGGAUUUAUGUGUGCAUGCAUCUCUGGCAGGCUGGGAAAAUGUGUUGAAUGACGAUGUGGCUGAAGUCAAAUGUGGAAGUCAAAUGUGGCUGAACAGCCAAAAGUGUCCUUUUGAUACUUUAAAAAAAAAAAAAAAAAAAAAGGAAAUACAUUUUAUGAAAAUGAUGUGGAAUAUCUUUAUUUACUUUUUAAUAUUAUCUUUUAUCUGCAAAGCAUAUGCAGAGUAAGCAUGCAGAUUAAUACACAAAUUAUAAAAAAUACAAUCUGACUAAAUGCUAUGGUAUUACACUUAUUAAUGCAAUCUUCAGUAUCCACUUUAUCCUGGUCAGUGUAGUGUUAAAUCUAGAGCCUAUCCUGGAAAGACUGGGUCAAGGCAGGAAUACAUCAGUCCAGCACAGUGUGCUAUUUCAGGAAUGUGCCCUGCAGUGGGUUGGCACCCCCUCCAGGGUGUCCUGUGCCUUGUGCCCCGAGUUCCCUGGGAUAGGCCCCAGGCUCCCUAUGACCCUGGGAUAUGAUAAGCAGUAAAGAUAAUGGAUGGAUGGAUGGAUGCAAGAGCAUGUGAUGUAUCAGAGGGAAAUCAGUAUUUAGAAGUUACAUUGGUUUAGUUAUUCCCUUGCUUUGUAGUGUAGUGAAUUUCUAAAGUUUUGGCCUGGUACAAUGAAUUAAAGCAAGCACAGUUUUCAAUUGAACUUUCAAAUUUAUUAUGUAAGAACAUUUGCAGUUGAUGUUAAUGGAGAUGUACUCCUGAAGAUUGAACAUGACCUGCUUAUUAUGAUCGGGUCUUUGUCUGUAGAUAACUGGCUGUGUGGACUGUAGUGAGAAGUUUACAUCGCACACGUACAUACCAUAGCAUACCUGAAAGUGGCACAACAAUGUGAGCUUUUGUCUUGGUCCCUGCCUUGCCGUCUUUAGGGAAGAAGAACUGGGCUUGCAGCAAACCAUCACACACAAUAAAGGUGUGAGAAAGGGGUGUCUGGAUCCCACCGUUGGCUGACCACACCAACCGCACUCGCAUGCUCGCUUCCCCGUUGUAUUUCAUCUUCCUUAUACUUUUCAGUUUUCUUACCGUCACACAGAUGAGCCAUUGUUUUCUUGUCUAUUGCAUGCAGCUAUUUAGGCAGCAAGUGACUCUUACCCAUUCUGAAUCCCCACUGAAGUUAGCAGCUAACAGCUUAAAGCUGUAAUCACACUAGAAAUUUGCAGGCCUUCUUACAAUGUUGUGACAAAGGGGCCUAUGUUAUUAUUUGUGACUUACAUGAGAUUGAGGGAACAUUUGACAGAUUUUCUAAAUUAAUUUCUAUCCUAUAUCGGAGGUGGACAAAUCAUAAAUUCAUAAAAGCUCCAGUGUGUUGCCAGUCCUAUGUUUUGGAUGCCCAGAAACUGAAUUGACUUGGCUAAAAACAUAGCUAAAAACUAAGCUAGUUAGCUUGUUCAAUGCAUUCCAGGAACACAUUGUACACAUGGAUUAUAAAACAUUGCUCUAUUGCUCACAACAAAAAAACUGGUCAAUAUUUUGGCUAUGACAGGUGGUGAUCUGUCCUGUUAUAGUAUGACUGAUAUAGCAAAGAGGUUGCAAAGUGACUAGCAACAGAAUUAUGACAAAGAUUAUCUGUUAUACGUGCAUGCCUAGUAAAAUAAUUUUGUAGUCAGCCAUAGCCAGUGUGUGUAGUGUAGCACUGGCAUUCGGAAUGAGUAAAUUAAACUGUAAUUACAGAAUUGUGUAUUACAAUUUAUUAUUAUUAUUAUUAUUAUUAUUAUUAUUAUUACAUACCAAAUGAAAACAUUUGGAUAGCCAAGGUCAAUAAGCAAUGUGGG